rfam:Gossypium hirsutum cultivar TM-1 chromosome 12, whole genome shotgun sequence
UGUUAAAUAUUCCAUCUAUUUAUACGAUUAAAAAUUAUUGGUAUGACUAAUGGAAUAGCCAGAUAAUGUGACAUGCCAUGUAUAUCUCAUGCUAACGUACACAGACUAAUUUUUAACAAUAAAAAUAGAUAUAAUUUUUAUUA